UACGAAGGGGGCUAGCGUUGCUCGGAAUCACUGGGCGUAAAGCGCACGUAGGUGGAUCGCUAAGUCAGGGGUGAAAUCCUGGAGCUCAACUCCAGAACUGCCUUGAUACUGGCAAUCUCGAGUCCGGGAGAGGUGAGUGGAACUGCGAGUGUAGAGGUGAAAUUCGUAGAUAUUCGCAAGAACACCAGUGGCGAAGGCGGCUCACUGGCCCGGUACUGACGCUGAGGUGCGAAAGCGUGGGGAGCAAC
rnacentral:rRNA from 1 species